rnacentral:rRNA from 1 species
UACGAAGGGUGCAAGCGUUACUCGGAAUUACUGGGCGUAAAGCGUGCGUAGGCGGUUUGUUAAGUCCGUUGUGAAAGCCCUGGGCUCAACCUGGGAAUUGCAGUGGAUACUGGCGAGCUAGAGUGCGGUAGAGGAUGGUGGAAUUCCCGGUGUAGCGGUGAAAUGCGUAGAGAUCGGGAGGAACACCCGUGGCGAAGGCGGCCAUCUGGACCAGCACUGACGCUGAGGCACGAAAGCUAGGGGAGCAAACAGG